AGGGGGGGGGGGGGUCAAGCUAGGUUUAGAUAUUUCUUUUUGAAAGAAAUUAUAAAUGUAUUAUAUUUUAACAAAAAGCAUAAAUAAGGGUAUCAUAUGUACUAAAUUCCCGACCCACCAGUAGAUUAGGCUGGACCCGACUUGUGAACACAACAGUCAACAGGUCAGGUUAGGCAAGUUGAAGUGGGUUGCAUAAAUAAGUUGGGGUUGUUUUUUCCACCCCUACUAAUUCCAAUAUGUGUAUGAUGGAAUCAUGUAAGACANNNNNNNNNNNNNNNNNNNNNNNNNNNNNNNNNNNNNNNNNNNNNNNNNNNNNNNNNNNUAGAGCUCACUUUGCAUGAGUAAGAAACCAAGAAUUAAAGCACUCCAGGACAAAUAACAUUUUAUCUGUAAAGUAUAUAAGUUGAACAUUAUUGUAUUUAACUGUAUUAAUCAUUUUUUCUUACCAGAUAUUUUUUCCUGUUUAUAAUACCUCAGAAGUUCCAUGUCUUCAUUAUUUACAUGCAUGAUGAUCACUAUGUUGUGACUUAAUUAAUGGGUAGGCGCAACUACCAUUUUAUAUACAUGAAUUUCUAGGUGGCACUAAUUUUCAUCCUCCACAGCCAUAUUAUGCUUUGUUUGCUUGCUAACGAAACGUAAAUAAUAUGAAAAUAAUAAAAAUAAAAUACAAGAACUUUUUUGCUUAGUUGGUUAUAAUGAGAAAUCUGCAGGUGAAGAAUAUGACUUGUAAUUAGCAUGAUCUCGUUGGCUUAUUCCAAUCAAGAUAGUUAUUUAAAUGGGGCAAAAGAUUUUGGACUUCUUUAAGAGACCUGUUUUCCUUAUAUUUUUUAUAUUUAUAUUUUUUUCCAUUUAACCUCAUUUGAUCGCCAAGCAUUAGAAGAGGAACAUCUAGAGUUUCUCUCCUCUUCCCUAGGAACCAAACUUAGAACCUAGCCAAUGACUCAAACUUGACUUUAUCUCAUGCAAAGAAAGGUCUUGUCUUUCUACUUUAACAUACAAUUUGCCAAUCACUUUUUUCAACAUCAGUUUUCUAUCAAAAAUGUUUCAUAACCUUCAUAAAAUCAUUAAUGAAUCUCAACUUCACCGGCACAGAUACAAGACAUUGCCAAUUACAAGAAGAAGAUUUCAGCCUAUAAUGCAACUUGCAGCAGACGAUUUAUGCCAUUUACACUAGAAAAAACAGUGACAUGUAAGAUCUCGAAGUGAUAAUACAUAAGUACUCCACCAAAUAAAAAUAUUAAUUCUUUAAAGCAAAUGACAGUGUGAUUGAGAUGAUAGGGGUCUGAAGCAAUUCAUUUAUGCAUCACUAGCAUUAUAGGUCAGAAAGAACUCAUAGUUGUACGGAAAUUAAUGCAAUAUAAGAGGUCAGUUUCAUGGAACAAGAGAGAGUCAUACGCAUAAGAAAAAAAAAGGGGGAAAUGAAGACCUUAUGCGGCCUGUAUAACACCCUCUUUCGCUCCUUCGAUCUGUAUAUAGCAUCUUUAAUUCCAACAUUAUCCAUAUAACCAUGGGGCCACAACUCUGCGAGCUGGAAUCCAGGAAAAAACAUGGGUCAAAAGUAAAAACAUAAGUCAUAUCAAAAGACUGCAUCAGGAGAUAUAAAUGAGGGAAAUGCAAUAUUUUCACUAGCAGAAACUUAAAAAAAUGCAAGAAUGGACAUGCUACCAGAAAAUAGUAACAAACAAUUAAGAAGUGACAGUUACGCCAGCAACCAUCCACAAUUUCUAGAAACAAGAAAAACAAAAAUGCAAUCAAAACAAAAAUAAAGCAAGAAAUUUAAUGCUUGAAGUAAACAAAAUUAGUCAGCUCAUUAUCAAAAUUAGUCAUAUAGAACUACAAAAAAAAAAAAACUUAAUAAUGUAUAAAAUCUUAACAAUUUUUCCAUAAGAGCAAUUAUGUCUAAAUUUAAGUAUUUGAAUGAUCAAUAAUUACAACAUGGUUGGAUCUCAGACAGAAUUAUACAAGAAAAUGUUUAAAAUAUAAAUAUAGGAUUAGACCUACCUCAACAUAUAGCUUCCUGCUUUGAGGGCCCUUAUCUUCAUCCAUCCCCUGAAAUGAAAUAUAGUUUAGAAAGUGAUGUGAUGGACUGUAAAAUCAAUUUUAGUUUGGAGGCUAGAAAUGAAACAAAAUGAUGAUAAGAAAUAACUAAUGAAAUAUGAGUUACUUUAAACUGGCCAACAAAAGGCAGGGUUUUCUUUUUUCCGAAUUAAGAUAGGACCAUGGAACAUAGGAGAACCCUUCAUGACACAUUCCAAUCACUUCAAUUAACCUAAGAAAGGUUUUAGGACGCAGCAUAGUAUCUAGUCUCCAAAACACUCUCCUCUUGAAUAUACCUCACUCUUUCCCUCUUUUCUUUUCGAGAUAAACCCCACAGCAAAAAAAAAAACAAGAAGAAAAAAAUCAAUUGCAGAUAACUUUGUACCUCAACAUAUAAAUCAUAGAGAUCACAGAUCUUGUCUUCCAGUGCAGAAUCCAUGCUAUAUUUUCCUUUUAGAGCUCUUCUUUCAUCAUUAUUGAUAACUUCCUGGAAAUCAUCAGCUGAAGCAUCCUGUGGCUCAGCCCCAUGUUGAAGAAAUAAGAAUUUAGAUAUAGAGGGUAAUAACCAAAAUAAAGUAGUACAUGUUAAGUUCAACUUCCUAAACAUAAAAUUUAAGAUAUGAAUUCAACUUCGGAGAUGCAUGCUGUUUGUUAUAUAUCAUCUAAAAGUAAUGUUCUUAUAAAAUUAUCGAAAAUUAUGUUUGUUUUCACAAGAGCACAUGAUGCUUCCAUUUUGAUUAUCUAUGCGCUUACCUUAGAUUUCAUGUUUGAGACACGUGCUCUGAUCAUUUCAUGAACUUCUUUUUUAACUUGUUGGAAUCUAUCAGCUUUCUGUUGUUUUGCCGAAAGACCUAAUUCAACCAUCUCCUUCAUGUUCCUCUGUAAUACAAUUUAAUAUAUUAGUAUAUAGAAAAUUUUAUACAGAAUGAGACUAUGAUAUCCUACUGCAAUAUGCCUAAAUAUAUAUCAAACAAUAAAACCAAAAAAGCUUACUGAAAAAUAUAUGGUAUUCUCAUUUAUUAUUUGGAGAAAUAUAAGUGCACACAGGAAAACAGAUCUGUGCGGUCAUCCUGCUGAAAGGAUGUCAUUUUUGAAAUGCAUGAAAACGGGCAAAAAGAUAAGUUUCAAAAGUAUUUUCUAAGUGAGAUAAUAAAAGCAGGAAAUUUGUAUCAUAUUUCACUGACUACAUCUGGCAUUAGCUUUUCUAAAUAUGACAUAAUUCACUGAAUACAGUGGGGAUUAGCUUUUCCAAAUAUUACCUUCAAUGUUUUCCGUUGCACCAAGUGACCAAGAAUCCCCAUAAGACGAUCAAUUAAAUCAUCUUCUGAAACUUUACCUUGGCUUGCCUACAAUAACAUUGAAAUAUAGUUCAUUAUAAAAGCCAAAAGACAUCUCGAAAGUAAAAUUUAUGGGAUUUUUCCAAAUGACAGAAAACAACGAUAAGAACAUAGCAAGAAAAAAUUCAUAUAGUCUACCCUAAACUUCUGCGUGGACCCUAUUUUUUAAUAUUAGAAUGUGGAGGGGCCACCAAAGGUUUCUGAGAGGCGGAUACCUAAAGGGCUAGGGUAUUAAAGUUAACUCCCCGAUGAUCUAGGUUCCAGACAACAUAGACAAUAUCAUUUCUAAGAUGACAGCAACAUAGUUGUGCAUAUCACUACCAACCUAUGUAGGUACUAUCAAAUGCAGAUUGACGCAAUUUGGCAUGCGGUCAGACUGCAUAUAUUGCUAAACCUACACAAUUGAUAAACUGCAAUUAGUUGGAUUCAGUUUCCAUUAUACCUCUGCCAGAUUUCCCUUACUUUGUUUGAACUUCUGGUCAUUGGUUUUUGAUAAAAAAAUCAAUAUAAUAACAGAUCAUAUAAUAACAAGUUUGUGACCAGCUUUAUCAGCAAUUGGUUUUUUUUUUUAAUAUGAACUAAGAUGACAGAUUUGCUUAGAUCAGUAGCCCAUAGGUCUCAUGUUAAUAUUGGGAAGGCAAUCGGCAUUACAUUAAAUGAUUGCUCAGAAAAGAACUGGCUGGAAGGGGAACAUGAAGACCAUCUUUCUGUUUGAUGAUCGUGGGUGCAAAACAAAAGAAAACAACUAAACUCAUAAUUAACAUGUAAUUCUGUAAUGCUAUGAUGAAUCAGAAUCAGCUUGCAUGGUCAGAACCUGGAACUCCAGGUAGUGGGAUAACCGGUUUAGGCUGCUGACUAACAUUUGUGUCAUCUGUAAGCUUUUGAGAUUUGUGGCUUUCCUUGGUAUGCUGCGAAGGAACUUUACGUGGAUGAACAUGGAUGUACCCCAACUCUGAUUCUGACUUCCUCUUCAUCUUUUUUUUCAUAUCAACAACAGCUUUGCUGCCAUCCUCAAGGAUCAUGCUCAUGCUACCUCCUCUAACCUUGUCAGGAUUUUUCAAUCCAUGCUGCUGUCCAGAAUCACUUGAAGGUGGAGUAGGAUCAGUAAUUCUGCCUAAUAAAGCAGGCGGUUGAUUGGAUACCAACUUGCCCGGAGAAAUGAGAACUGCUCCAAUAGAAUCAGUAACUGGUCUCUCCUGUCCAGCCCAUACUUGAGCAGCUGGAUUAGUCUCUACCCUAACUGCUGCAGCCAACUUUUUCCUCUUGAUCCUCUCCUCAUCACGAAAAGAACUUCCUUUCAUAAAGAAGCAGAUGUAUUCUGUAUGCACUUAACUUGAGUUGUUAAAUCAUAUUGGAAUAUGCUAGUUACAUAUCUUUUGCAAGUUAUUUGUAUCUUCCAACUGUGCUGUAACUCGGCAUCAUCAAUGAAAGAAUCCUCAGUGUCAUAUUGAUCAUCAUCAGGAGCCUCAUCAAGAUCCUCCUCAUCACUGCUUUGUUUGCCCAUGUACAGGCGUUCAAUCUUCUCAAUAACUGCACUAAAUCGAUUUGGAGGUGCUACUGCAUCUUUUAGCUCAUCUUCCACGGUCGCAGCAGCCGGUCCGGCGUGGGUUCCGAAGGCCGGUUCGGCCCCACUAGGAGGAGGGAAAACAUUCCUCCCCUUGCUGGAAUCCCUGACCAGUCUCUUCCAGGAGACGAUGGUGGUCUCCCCGGGCCGCAGCUCCACCGUGAACCGCAGCCGCUGGCUGGCUGAUUCCGGAGGCGGCGGCGGCGGCGGCGCCUGCUUUGGGGGGUUGGAGGAGGAGGCGAGGGGCGCCGGGGCGGAGGGGAGGGGGGAGGAGGAGGAGGAGGAAGCCCUAACGCCGACGGUCGCGGCGCCGCCCUUGUCCUCUUCCAUGGUCGCAGCGUGGGGAGCGAGGAUUGGCUUCUAGGGCAUCUGAGAUCGGGGGAGUUCUUCUUCUCUCUUUCGCUCGCUCGAGCGCUCGGACGACACGGAGACACCCCUUGCGCGGGACUCUCCAGAUGCCCGGUGCCAAGUGCCGACAUACUGGUGCAAAAUUCAGUGCCAAUCAUAUACUGCCAUUGGCACAACACACGUGCUUCAAUCUUCGCAACUCCCAUAGAACCUCUCAAUGCAGAUGGUUGUUGUGUAUAACAUGCCCCCAAAGAAAAGAAGGAACGGGCGAUCAUAUGUGAAGAAGAUAUCGUCAGCACAAUCCAAGGACGUUGCAUUCACAGUUCUUAAGCCAAAUCACAGUGCUGAAUUACAUUAUCAGCCCAAUGUACCACCACAACCAGUUCAUUAGUUAUGAAGUUGAUAAAAUCAUGCAACAAUAGACUAUAUGACCAGAAUUGCAUCAAUAUUGGUAUCAAUCAUGGAGCCCCCCCCCCCCCCCCUCCCUUCUCUCCAACCAGCAGAAAAAAACAAAAAAAUGUUUCCAUAGAGAAUAUCCACGUCAUCCCCUGCAGCUGAAAAUUUUCUGAGAUGAUUGCUGCUAACAUUAGUCAGACUGUUUUAAGACACAACAGAAUCUCCUUAGAAAGCCAUAUAUUUUCCAAACAACGAAGCCACUUGGCCUUAAUGCUUAUUGGAAGCCUCAAGUGUGCAAGAUGAAACUGAUCAUGAAAUACUUCCAGAUAAUUAUUAAAUAUCAUUCAUGCAGAUACGUGAUACGAUGGGUAAAUCAUUAAAGGCUUGAAUUUGAUCUCUAAGAUAGAUCAUGGAGUUAAAAAUAUAAAAGAUCAUGACAGCAUGGGAAAAUGUUUUCAUUAUAUAAAACACUACUAAAAGAAUUAGCAGGAGACAAGGAAUGAGAUUAAUUAGCAAUUACCGAUAAUCUUGCAACUUUAGCAAGCUUCUGUUUUACGUCCUGAGGAAGCCUCCUUUUAACUCCUUGAGAUGAAGGAUCCAUUUCCUGAACAUCAAUACUUGGUGGUCUGGCUGUAGGAAAAAUUUUAAAGUUUAAACAAUAACAACAAGAGCUCAAUUACUUCCAAUGGUAUUCCAUAAGGAAAAUCUUCAACAGAAAGUACUACAGUUUGGAAUCAUCAGGACUUACACACUGCAACUAUCUUUUCCAGGUCUCGAAUGGCUCGUUCAAGUGUUGUCCCUUUCGGUCUAACAGUGGAGCCUUCUUUCACCCUUCUGAAUGUUGGUUGCUGCAAGACAUCAAAAAUAAAGUAACCACCCAAAAGACAGAUCAUGCUAUAUAAGAAAGAACCUGGUGUGCUCAGCAAGUGAUAUAUCAUCUAAUUCAACUGCAUUACCAGGCAUUGAACAAGAUGCCGUUAGCGAACAACAUCUGCGAUCUAUUGUUUUGCAGAAACUAGGGUAAAAGGAUUUUACUGUUUUCAAAAAUAAUGCCAUAAGUAGUGCUACAUGAGAGCUAAGCUGCUAGUGGCAAAGGUGAGCAGCAAGGUGCUUGAAACAGCAAACAGGUGUACAACAUCUCCCAGGUGCUGGGCUCUACCAGAUCACCCUCCACUUGGAUUUUCUCAGUAAACUGAAAGGGGUUUCUUUCAAGUUUAAAAGCAUAGUUGUUCAAUCAACAGGCCAUCCUCCACAAACAGAAACAAGGAGGUAAAUAGUUUCAAAGCAAUAUACCUUUACUAGAUGAAAAAUAAUUUAUCUUAGAGAUUAAUAGCUUGAACUUAUCAAUCUAUAUGUAAAAGAUAGAAAAAGAAUUAGCAAUCAAUUCAAUUUAGUGAAUAAACAUGUAAAAAUAAGAAUGGAGGAAACAAAGUAAAGAAGUCCAAGAAAUAUCUUUUAGACUUGGAAUAUCAUAUUUAACUUGUAGAAGUAUAAAAUUUAUAAUACUUAGGGAUCAAUCUCAGCAUAUAAUCAUAGUGUACAUAGAGAAUGAAUGUAGCUGGUGAAGUUCAGGAUCAGUUAUUUUCUUUCAUGUAAUCUAAUAUAAGUAAAAGAGAUUGCAAAAUGUUGUUUAGAUAUUAAAUGGUAGCAAGACUUUUGGUCAAUGUAGGCCGAACCGGAUUGAACCACCCGGCUUGGCCUGUACCAAACCGAACCGCCCGGUUCAGCUCGUACCAAGCUAACCCAGUGGGGAACUGGCUUAGUUCGCCCAUUAAAAAUGAUUUCGGUUCUGAACCGGCUGGAACCGUUCGAAACCGGUCGGUUCUAUUCGAAGGUGCAAACCGUUCGGUUGCACCAAGUCGACCCAGUUCGAAACUGGGCCUCUUCUCCUUAGCUUUUCUUGUUGAAAGGAAGCCUUCCUAACACCUCCUCUGCUUCGUUUAGGCUUAAGACGCCUAAACAACUCCUCCUUCACCCCAAUUUGCGACCGAUUCAACGCAAUUGAAGGAAGAUCCAAGCCUAAAUAAGGUGUGCUUCCUCUCCCUUAUCUCAUUCCCUCUAUUUUUAUUUUUUUGGCUUGAAAAAAUAGCUCGAAAUUUGCAAAAUAAGAAGAGAUCAUGCCAAAAAUUUUGAUUUGGGUUUGAAUUUAUUAUAUGUUGUAGAUCUAUAGAUGAUCUACACAAUAAUAUUAAAAUUUUUAAUUUUCAGAUUAUAUAAUUUUAAAAAUUAAAAUAUAUUUUUAAAUUGAAAAAAAUAAAAUAUAUAUAAAUAAAAUUCAGAAAAAAUAUAAAAUCCAAAACAUAUUAGGGGCAUGCAAGCUACUCUCCAUCAAAAUUUGGUGUCUAUUUGUUCAAGUUUUAAUACGAUCAUGCGCAUAGUGGCCUAGGCCUAAAUUUGAAAAAAAUUGAGAAAUAAGUAGCCUUUGAUGCAUGCCCACAGGCCUAAAAAAAUAUAUGUAGCAUUUCAUUAUUGGGUUGUACAAAGAUCUGAGCUGAAAUUAAUUUUUUAAAAUAUUUAUAUUUAAAAAUUAUUUUUAAAUUUAAAAAUAAUUUAAAAUAUAUAAUUAAUACCAAAAAUUAUGAAAAAUUAGUGGUGCAUAUUACAUAAUUUAGAAGUAUUUUCUGAGGUAAAAAAACAUAUUUUUUGAAUUUAUUAUAUUUAAACAUAUUUUCUAAAUUUAAAAAUUAUUAAAAAUAUAUAAAUACAUAAAUAAAUAUGAAAAAUUAGUAUUAUGCAUUAGAUAAAUCAAAUGUACUUUCGACAGUAAAAAAAUAUCUUCAUCGUAACUUAAUUUUACUAUUUUUUAAUAAUUGAUAAACUGACGUACUUGAUAAACCUGCAAGAAUGGAAUCAUCAAAGAAAAAGGAGCUAGAGCGUGACAUUAAUUGAGAUCAUGGACAAAUGCUCUCGAGCUAGCACCAUUGAAAGUGCAACUGAUACAACACAGAGUUCAAAGAACGAGGGGUAACCAGAUUGAAGCAGCACUUAGCUGGUGGUUAUCCUGACGUAUCUGUUCGAAAAGGUCCACGGAAGAUUCGGUAGCUGAUGAAAAAAUAUUUUUCUGAUUUCAGAGCAAUGAAGGAAAGAAUUUUCAAGAAAAAAGAGAUGGACCACCGAACUGCAGAGCCAUCAUCAGAUACAUUUAUAACCAUACAUGGGUCCUUUCACUAAUGAGGAGGUAUGCAAAGGAAGAGAUCUUGAUACUAGAAGUCACACCGUUUGCUACCAAAUACGUUGCAAUUGAUAGCCUUCUUAAGAGGAAAGCAGCCCUACGUCAGAUGUUUGUCAAUCCUGAGUGGCAGAAAAGUAGAUAUGUGAGGGCUGACACUGAAGGAAGCAUUGUCGAGGACUUAGUGACAAGACAUAUUCUGGCAGAGGGCCACUACGAUAUUAAAGGCUAUCAAACCAUUGUAUAAAAUGCUUCAAGUCGUAGACAGCGAGAGGAAACCCAAAUGGGCUUCUUGUAUCAUAUUAUGGAAAGAAAAAAAACUCAGAUCAAGGAGGCAGAUCCGACGUAUGCCCAGGAGUACAUCGACAUCGUUGAGCAGCGAUGGGACUAUCAGAUGGAUAGAAACUUGCAUCUAGCACGUAAGCAAGAAAAUUGAAAAUUAGAGUGCUCAUGUACUUGUACAAUUUUACUAGAACAAUAACGAACUCUAUUUGCAGCAUACUACCUGAAUCCGAGAUUUCAAUACACCGUAUCUGAAAUCGAUAUAGAUGACAAACUUCUGGCCACUCUGCGAAAUGUGAUUUACAAGAUAGAGCUUAAUCCAAAAGUUGCGGUCCUAUAUCUAAAAGAGGUAAGUUAACUUAAGUGACAUGUAUAAGUUAACUGGUAUCUUCAAUUAUUAACAUAUUACAACAUGGUUCUUUUUUACAGACCAAAAUAUUUAGAAAAGGCACUAACAGUUUUGGAGUCUCGGUAGCUGUCCAUGUAAAUUACACAUCAGGAGGAUAUUUACCUAGCGUUAGAUGGUUACUAAUAUAAUACUAUCUUAUAUGUAAUUUUAUUCAAUAUUUUUGCAACAUGAGGACAUUUUGGUUUGUCCGCAAAAAAUCUAAAGUAGCUAGCUAUGAGCUCUCCCAGACAGUCUCCUCGAGUAGCUGUCAGCACAACUAGUUCACCUUUGCCCUCAUCCACAGCAAGUAGAGAAACCGUUUGACACAGAAAUGCCUCAUCCACAAACUGAGAUUGAAACUGAAGUGAAUUCGAGAGAAAGUGGAGCUAAAGUACAGAGAUUCGAUCCAUAAUGCUUUCUUUGAUGAUGAGGAUGAUCCUAUGAUUGGGUGGCUUGUGGGCCGGCAGUAGGAAUUGGAGCUUGAUAAGCGAGGAUUGCCUCCACGACCGGCCAGUUUCGUAGCUAAUGAGACUAGGAUCGAUGCAGGGCAAUGAGCAGAAAAAUAUUCCACGCAUCCUUCUAGCUGAUCAGCCACAGCCACAGAAGAGCCGGUCACCAUAUGACUCCUUGUCCGAGACAUCCUCUUGGAGAUAUGAUCGAGAGAUGCUUAAACAAGACCACCAUGCUACCCGAUCGACUCGGUCAAAAGGGCGAUAUACAUCCUCCCAACAUAGCCAGACAAAGAGGAGCACCAAGAGUAAGCAGGCAGAGAGUGGCAUGAAAGACAAGCAGGCAACGAGUGGCACGAAGGAUAAAUAGGCAAUAAAUGGCACGAAGGAUAAGUAGGCAACGAAUGGCACGAAGAGUAAGUAGGCAACGAGUGGCACGAAGGAUAAAGAAGAUAGCCGCCCAGUACAUCAAAAAGAAAACAAAAGGCACCCACAACUCCAAUGAAGAGUAUAGAGGAGCCAGUUUACUCAUAUUCAGAGACUAGAAGCAACAAUUCUGAUGGUCAAGGAUCUACUGGCCAGAGGGAGUGGACAUGAGACUGCUAUUUAUGGAACAGCCGCAGGAUGGUCUUCAAUUCAUCGAUGAAUCUCAGUUUAUGCAUGCUACACAGAAUAGAGACCACGGUGCACAAUCUGAUGGAACUUACGAGGAUCCGAUUCCAUAUAAGAGACGGGCUCCCCAACAUCAUUCAAGAGGAUACGAUGUAGCUGCAAAUGAUCUCACAUAUGGAGUAGAAUCCAUAGGCGUAUCAGAUUUCGAGUCCUACAUUGAAUCCUAUCACCCACAGCUACAGACAGCCUAUAACCCAAACGGAUACGGAUAUAAAUAUGGUGCGUCUGAGACAUCUUCCGGUAGCUACUAUCCUACGCAGCUCGAAGCAUCUUAUGAGUCGGAUUUUGCUGUCAACUUAUUCGGAUGGGCUCCUUCACAACCGUUUUAUCAGCCAGCUUAUUAGUCAAAGAAUACCUCAGAGCUAGAGCUUCAGCGAGAAAUCCAAGAGUGCUUAUAAUUCGGAGCAUGAACCUUAUUAGAUGAAUAUACAAGACUACAACGCUGCUUAGUUAGAGGGGUGGUCUGAUGUGCCUUCUGAUUAUGCUAAUAAUUUGGAUAUCUACGAGAGACAUCGCCACUCAAAAAGAUUUUAGAUAUCGAUAUGUAUGUUGUACUUUAAAUAUAUAUGUAAUUGAUUAUAUUAUUUUAUAUUUUUUACCUCACUACUUAAUUUAAGUAUAUUUCAUAAUGCUUAUUCUAGCAUACAACAUCUUACUAAUCUUUUUGUGUUUUAUAUCAUUUUGAAAUAACAAGAUGUAUCAUUUAGGUUAAACCAGAAUCAUAGAAACAUCAAAAAAUAUUAAAAAAUAUUAAAUUGGACUUAAAAUUACUGAAAAGUUGAAAAAGAUUGAUUACCAAGUAAUUAAACUUAAAAAACUCAAAAAAAGGGCGUGCCGGUACCGUACCGGCAUGCCCAAGUGUACCGUAUAUCGCUACGGUACCGAACUAGUACCAUACCGAUACCGUAUUGAUCCAUCCGCCGACCGGUAUGGAUCCCGGUACUGAUACCAUACCAAUCCGUUUGCCAACCGAUACGGAUCCUAAUAUUCGUUCGGCGAACCUUACUUUUGGUAGCCUUCUAUAAGACUUAAACAACAGUAGUGAAACUGUCCAAUAUAAAAUGGAUCAAAAUGUCAAGCAUUUAAGACAAUUCAGGCAUGUAAGAACAAUUUUGCAUAAAUGGAAAUAUUGGGAUCAAUGCAUAAUAAGCUGGAAGUUACAAUUCAACAAUAAUAGGAAGUUCAAGAGUUUCCCCGGCCUACCCAAAGAAUAGAAAGAUGAUGAAGGAGCACCCACUUGUGUAGCACUUACGGAGAUCAUGAGAAAUCAAGAUAGGAAUGAUUUUUAUAUGAUGAUAAAUCUGGCACAUCACAAACCAUGGACGUCCAGAACUCCAAACAUUCUUCUUUAUCAUUAUAUAAAUAUAACUAAAACAACUUAGAGAGGUAGGUCUUUUAUUUUUAAUGACACAACACUGCAAAAAGUUUAGUGCUGAACCAUUUGUUCUGAGAAUGCCAGAGCGAAUUUCUAUAAAGCUGAUAAGAUUGGGAGAUUUGAAACUUCAAGCACAAAAAUCAACUAUCAUUCUAGUUCUUAGAUCUGUAGCUAAGCAGAAACACUGAUACCCAUCCUCGAGGGUAUCUGAUGAAGAAAAACUCCUACCAUUCAGUUACAUCAUCCUACCAAGAAUGCAACUUUCAAAAUAAUAAAAUUGUAGGAAUUUCUAACAUGAUUGAUAACAGACACAUUACUGGAAAAAAUCAACUGAUUCUGCAGCACUUAGCAGCAUUCUAACAGGAUUUAAUGCUUAGGACAUCAUAAACUGUGUCCCAAGUUAUAAAUGGUUAUAGAUGGUAGGGCCCUUUAGCUACAUCAGGGAAAAUUGUCAGAGAGGUCCAAGCUGAAAAGACAGCCCAUGGAAACUUGUGCCGAAGAACUGUAAGCCAUUUAUAUAUGUAAAGUUAAGAGCAGCAAGUACAACACCAACAAGUCGAUAAAAAGUUUUGAACAAGAGGUCAUAGCAAGAAUAAUUGUUUACAAAGAAAUUUGAGGAAGAAAGUAUUAGUCAAGCAGAGAAAACAGAAAAAAAUCAUGUUGCAGAAAACAAAUAAUGGCGUGAAUUCUAAAAUAUCUAGCUAUUCCAAGUGCUUACCACUGCUUGCAUAGGAAAUUCACAAGUUCCAUGUUUCUCCUUGCGCCGUAUUUUAGCUGAUAAUUCUUCAAUCUCACCAUUCAGCAAUCUCCUAGAUUGAAAUUCAACCUGAGAAGAAACACCUUUGUCCUGAGAUGCCUGAUACAUGGGAUCCAAAGAGUUGCCCGUUCCUCUUGAUUUAUGAACAAGGUCAUCAGAUGGUAUCACAACAGCUUUAUGUUUAUCAAAAUCCUUUGAUUCCAAGGGUAAUGAUGGGACAUCCUUAUUUGGUACUUUCACAGAUGGAGGAUUUUCCAAAUGCAAGGUGAGAUCAGAAGACCUUUUUUUGUAGGCUCCUGCAGGGGCAUUUAAUAUUUUUUUUACAGGUUUACUUUCCUCAUAAUAAUGUUCGAAAUAUGGAAGAGCCAGAACAUCAGCAGUGCUUGAUAAUUUCUUCCCCACCAACGGUGCAUUCCUUGCUGCAGCCUUGAUUCGCAUAUUACCCAUCUUUACAGAUUCAUUGGGACCAUGUUGAUGAUCCCUUUUCCUGUAAACUUUUGUUGAAUCUUUUCUUCUCCUUUUCUUUGGUGCCACAUUAAAUGAUGCCAUAGGCUCACUGAUAUAAAAAGAAAACAGCGUAUAAAGAUGUCUUCUUCAUUAUUAUUUAUCAAACUAAUAUCACUGAAAGGCAUGCAUUGUCUGCUAUUGUCACUCGAGAAAUGGUAAGUGCCAAAAUUAGAUCUUGUUAAUUUAUAUGACCCCGAAAUUUCAGAGACUACAUUUAUAGGUACCUAUAGUUGUUGGCACAAGAUUGAAGUUUUUAAUCAAGACAUCAACAAAUGUCAUACAAAAGUAUUUAAUUAAACCCCUGAACAUAUUUAUGCUACAACAAAUUAAUGUUAAAGGAAUGCAGCUUUAAUUAAGACUGCUGAUAUUAGCAAUAAAUCAAAUGUCCCAUUAAUGUCCUCAUUGGAAAGAAAGAAGGUCCAUUUCAUUUUGAAGGCAAUUUACAAGCUUACAGCAUCGAUCUUCCUAAAAGGAGUUCUCUUAGCAUGUGUCAUGCGAGCUAAUAUGCAGGAUAUUUAAUAGUAAUUGUCUCCUAAUCUCGGCAAGUGCAUCAUAGGUGCCACUUAAGGUUUUCAUCUUGGCCAAGAUCUCGGUUUGUAUCAGUAUUGGGCAUUCACGGACACAAUAUACAAGAAACCUCAGACCUUACAAUCCCAGCUGAUAGAAACUGAGAUAUCCGAAGACAUCAACCAUUACGAUAUCAUCAUAUCAGCCAACAUUUUCCAAUGUCUUUUACUUCUUCAAAUAGAUUAUUUAAUUAAUAAAUCUCAAAAAUAAUGCUUCAAAAUAUUUGCUAAUAUCGGUUUUACUAUAUCAGCCAAGAUUCUGAUAUCCUGAAUCUAACAUAUUGAUCAAAAUCAAAAAAAAUCUUAGUCUUCAAUUCUUCCCUACUUUCAAUCUCAGCUGAAAUAAAAAUGAGAUCUUAAUUCACUUGAUCUUAAUCACCAAUCGAGACGACCUAUAUCUUAGCUUCUUAGAAACCUCUCCAUUACCACAGAAAAAUACUAUGAGUAAAGACAAAUAAGGUAAUCAAAGGGCGGGCCAUGGUGCAACGAUAAGGUUGCUCCAUUGUGGCCUGGGUAUCACGAGUUUGAAUCACGGAAACAACCAUACGGGCAUAAGGUUGCGUACAUUUAACUCUCCCUAGAUCCUACUAUGGCAAGCCUCGUACACUAGGUGAUACCGCUUGGAUCGAUUUGCAAUCCAAAGAAAGUGGGAGAAAAGACAAGAACAAUUUCUUUGCAAAGGAGGAAGAUAUCUUUCAUUCAAAGCUUGGAUGCCUCCUCAUUACAAUUCAUGACUAUUUAUAGGCAAGUCAUGGGUAACAUGAAAAGACAAAAGAAAAUGAAAGGUCAAGAGUCACCUUGAUAUGGGUAACUCACGCAAUAAAAGACAUUAAAGCCAAAACCAAAUUCUCUUAGAGAAUUAGAUAAUUUAAAAGGUCAAAAGAUAUAUGCCUCUUAAAAUACCUAUAACUAUCCAACCAUAACUCUGAUUUUAAUGUUCUUGGGCUUAUUGGAAAGAAGAGAAAGAGACCUGAAACUUUCAUCUUAAUAACUUUUCCAAAUCCGGCCACUUAAUAUCCUAAAAAUGACAUGCAAAUUGUAUGGCGUCCAUGCACCUGCACAUCCACCUGCAUCACUAGGACACCCUUUAAAAAUAAACAAGGUGAUUAGGUAAUUGAUAUAACAAGAAUGUCCACAUAAUUCAUACAUAGGCAACACCAAGGUACCUGGGUGACCGCUAGUAGACAAACAGGCCUCGGAAUACCUGGAAGACCCAUCGAUAAACAUGUGCAUAUUUGCAAGCACAUACAUAUACCUAUACAUACAUCUAUACAUGUUUUUAUACCUACAUACACAUAUCUCCGAAUAGCUAGCUAGCUAGCUAGCUAGAUGCAUAGAUAGACAAACAAACAGGUAGAUAGAUGAACAUAUACAAAAUUAUGUAAGUACAUGGCAAAAAUAAAUGGGUGUUUUGCAUGUACACCUUCCCAAAUGUGCAAAAAUGCAUGAAUAGCCUCGUAAAGUUACUAUUUUCAUGUAUACCCUCAUAAAAUACUUGUUUUGCAUGUAUACCCUUCUUUUUCUUUCUUUUUAUAUAUGUACCUAUACCAUCUAAUGCUGUUAAAAAAUAAACAGUUUAAAUUUAAAAUGAUUGAAAUACCCUUAUAGAGAGACAUGCAAAAAAAAACUUUAUAAGGUGAGGAAAUUCAUGCAAUUUUGCAUAUUUAGGAGGAAAUACACUUAAAAAAUACAAUAAAAAUAAUCAAAAUCCAAUAAAGAUAAUUCAAUUGUUCUUAAUAAAAAACGGUCACAAAAAAAUAUUAAUAUUAUCAUGUCGCAUGAUCUCAUGUUAAUAUCAACUCUUAUAGAAUAAAUCAUGUUGCAUUUACAAAAUUCUCGCUCCAAUAAACAAACAACUCAACUUUUUCAAAUCACUAACAAUAUUUUACUAAUCUAAGCAUCUAUAAUUAAUUUAAGUUUGAUAUGCUUUAGUCUUUUAACAUAAUGAAGAAUAUAUAGAUAUCACGGACUCGAUAAUGAUAAUUAUGUCAAAAUCAAAUGGAGAAUAGUAUUACCAAAAUGAUCGCCUAAUAUUACAACUUGACCGAGUUAAGAUCUUAAAUAAAGAAAGUUGACAAGGGGACUUGGCCUUUUUCCGACUUGUUGAUCCAACUUAAUCAUAAAAGAUUUGGUAAGUCUCAACCAAGUUUUGAUCAUUUUUUUAAUGAAUUUUUCGAAUGUAUAACCUUCUAAAUAUGAGACAUUAUAUGAAUAUCCUCGCAAAGUUACUAUUUGCAUGUAUAUCCUUAUAUAAUUUUUUUUUUUGCAUAUCUACCCAUAAGGGUAUUUCAAUCAUUUUAAUUUUAAGCUGUUUAUUUUUUAACACCGUUAGAUGGCAUGGGUACAUAUGCAAAAAAAAAAGAAAAUAUACAUGCAAAAUAAGUAUUUUAUAAGGAUAUACAUGCAAAUAGUAAUUUUACGAGGGUAUUCAUACAAUUUUGUAUAUUCAGGUGGCUAUGCAUGCCAAAAAAAACCCUAAAUAAAUAAACAUACACAUAACAUAUGAAAACAAAUGUAAGGUGAUUAUGGCCAUGAAGCACUUGGAACAGAAGGGAAGCAAGUCCAAGUUUGCCUAAAAACUUCUCCAAUACUAAUUAACAAGGUGCAACCUUAAGUAACCCAACUGCCUCUUUCAAGAAAUGCAUGCUGCACACUCUACUUUUAAGAACAAAAAUUCAAGUAUUACAAGCACAGAUAAGUUUCUUCACUGAAUGCAGGCAGAGAAAAUUUCCUAACCUCAGGGAAGAAGCAGAAGGAAACAAAAAGAAAUGCAGCACGGUGACAUCUUACAUGAAUUCAAAGAAGAAAACCCAAUAUCUAUGAUCUGUUCCAUCUGGUAAAGAGAAACAAGGAGUCUUCUUUCCCAAGUCCAAAGACAACCAAUAAAAAAUCAAAUACUGCAACCAUAUAAAGAGCAUAAUUUUAUUUUUUUAAUUUCUAACAAAUCAAAUAAAAUGACCCUACUAUGGAGGACAUGAAGCUUGGAAAAAAAACAGUAGCUAUUACAUCUUUGCUGAUUUGUGCAGAAAACAAAUGAUUAGGAGGUUCAAGGGUGAUAUCAUGAUGCACCAAAGUUGAAGAUAUUUGUUGUCGCUGAUGUUGUAGAAUACAGGAGCUGAAGGAAAUGGCUACAGACAUCCAUAGACAGACCAGAUAGGUAAUGAUUCAUCAAGAUUUCAGUAUAGUAGUCUACCAAAUUUCAUGAGAUUCUAUGUAGAAUCUGAUUAAAGGAUUGACAUUUAUUUUCUUCUAGAGGAGGGAUCCUGCAAGUCUAUUUCUCAUAACCGUUCUGAGACAACAUAGAAAUUAUAUGCAUUAUAUAGCUGGGGGCAUGCUCGUAAUCAUCUGAGUGAAAUAAAGCAGUAAGAUUUUAAAAGCAAGCAAGCAAGCUAGCUGGAGUCUUAACUGGAUCAGGAGUCAUCAACAGGCAUACUAUUUACAGGCAACCUCCAUAGGCUACUUUUGGAGAGAUUUCUGGGCAAUUUCCUAGUCAUCAACAAACCUCAGAAGAAAUUGCCCUAAGGGUAUGCUUGGUCGUUCUGAAAAAAGUGGAAAGGAAAAACGAAAAGGAAAAGGUUUUCCAGGAAAAAGGAAAAAAUCUAGCUACUUUUGGAGAGCUUUCUGGGCAAUUUCCUAGUCGUCAACAAACCUCAGAAGAAAUUGCCCAAAGGGUAUGCUUGGUCGUUCUGAAAAAAGUGGAAAGGAAAAACGGAAAGGAAAAGGUUUUCCAGGAAAAAGGAAAAAAUCUAGCCAAAUUUGGAAAAUUCAUCUCUAUAAUAUCUUGGUUUUCCUACAAUCCGAAUGGUCAGAAAACCGAUUUUUUCCAAAUCUUUAGUUUUCCAAAGCCUUUUCCAAAUCUUACAAGCUGUUUAAAGUAUUCUCAUGCUAGGCUUUGUGAUUGUUAUCUAUCUUCUUUUUUUCUUAUUUCAAAACAGUAUUCAUCUUCAAACUCCCCAUGGCAGAAAUGGUUGUGAUUUCUUAAGUGGUUAGAAGUUAACAAGCUUAUAAAUUGUGUGCUACUUUCCUCCUACGAACCUUGAGUUCUUGCAAUAGCAUGCCCUCCUUUUGUCUUCCAUUGCCACAAAUACCACCUUGGUUUAAGGGGAGCAGCCUCAAAGCUUUUCAUCUAACGCUCUUUUUGGAAUGAGCCUUGGAGUGGAAUGGAAAAAAAUAUCAAGUAGCAUGCAUUUGUAAUACUCCAUCAAUUGCUACAUAAAACUCUAGUAUCUCUUACACACUCAUAAAUGAGCACUGUGCAAUGCAUGUUAAAAGGAAAAAAAGUAAAACAUAUAAAUAAAAAUACAUUUCAUAAAUACUAAAAAUAAAAAAUAAUAUAGAAAAACGAGCAUAGCAUACCUCAUUACAAUACCAAAGAAUAUAAAAUAAAAAUGUUAACUAAAAAUUAUAAAAUAUGAACAAAAAAGGAACAAAGAGCAUAACAAAAAUAAAUAAAAUAUAAUAUUAAUAAAAUUUUGAAUAUUAAUAAUAUAAAAAAUAAUUAAUAUAAAAAGAAAUAAAUAGUAUGAUAAAAUUAUCAAUAAAAUAAAAUGUAACUUAAAAAUAUAUGAAUUAAAAAUAAAAAUAUGAAGUCAAAAGAAAAGUAUACAUAAUAAAUAAAAAUAUAAAAAUAACUAAGAAAUAUAAAAUAACUUGUCAUUAUAACAUUAUAAUGAUAUUUACUUAAAAACUUAACAUAUAGAUAUAUAAGAUAAUAGAAGGCCAAAACACUUAUAAGGAUCAUUAUUACAAAACAUAGUUCUAUUCCUUACUAGUGAUAUAUUUAUAAAGUUAAUAUAAUAUUGAUUACAUUCUAAUAUACAAGUAGCUAAAUUAAAUAUUAGAAAUGAAUUGUUUUUCUUUUCCAUGUAUUCCUCAUCUUGCAUCCAAACAAUGGAAUAGAAAUCAUGAUUCCAGUUCCCUACCUUCCAUUCCUAACUUCCAGUUUCAUUCAGAUACCCAUGUCCAUUCCUUUUUCUUUCCUGCAAACCAAAAAUAGCCUAAGUUCUUUUGUAAGUUUACAAACAAAAGAAUUCUGACAUCCAAGACUUGUGUUAUAAUAUUGGGUUCCUCUGAUAGAACCUAUACGGGACUAUUUUAAAUCCUACACAUAAAUAAGAGUAAGAACUUCCUCAAAUCUAACACAACUCUCAUUUAAAUUGCCAUCUGAUAUAUGUAAACUUUGAAGCUAUUUCCAAGCAAAUAAGGUCAAAUUGGUGGUGGGUUACCUGUAUCCAUGAUUAUGAAGCCAUUUAAAAAACAAGCAAUUUGAUACAUGAUUGAGCAAUGUUCCUCAAGAUACAGGAUGCAGGUCUCAUGCAAAGUGCCCAGGCAUCAACAAGAAAAACUGAUAUGAGAAACUUUAAUAAAUUUGACAUAGCAGCACAAGUAUAUUUUAGAUGUGUAUGAAUGUGAAAGGACAUAUCUGCACAACAAAUAAUAAAUAGGAUUAAGGGAUAUAUAAUUUUAUAGAAUAUGAUAAACAGUCUGCUAGAUUGAAAACUUUUAUGUAUAAGCACCAAAAGGAAAAUAUGUAAUGAUGGUGACUUGACAAGAAGUUCAAGUUUCGUAUGUCGAAAAACUAAAAAUAUAACAUAUCCAACUAAGAAUUGGACUGCAGUUUUAGGCAAAAGGAAAUACCUAUAUUAGAAAGUCAUUCUACCACUAUAUCAAGAUUUUUUAAAAAAAAUAGCAAGCCAUAGAUGCAAUCAUAACUGCAAAUGAAGAGCUCAAGAGGACACUUACACAUGUUCUAACUUCCCUUUAUUGACAAAAUAUCCAUCAUAUUUGGUUCUCAAUUUGUCAACUUGAAAAUAUUCAUCCUGGAAGAAUACCAUAUAUAACAUAAGAUAGAAGGCGCAUUAGCCAACAAAAAAUAACCCAAUCAGAUUUACAAGGAUAAAUGUUGAGAUUACAUUAAUUGUGGUCGAUAUAUCUUGUAAAUAAAUUACAUUAGCUAUUGAAAAUUGCAAGUUAUUUCAAUUCAUCCAACUAAUCAAAUAUUGAAGAAUGCCAAAAAUAGUUGCUAUCGUAUGCUUUAUUUUGAAACCAAGAAUACUAGAAAGGGAAUAAGAACACAAACUAAUUUGGAGCAAGCAACUGCUGGUAUAUAUUUCAAGUUGUAUAAAUAAACUUAUGUGUUGAGAAACAAACAUUAUGUGAUGGCAGUUUUAAGUUGCUCUUAAACAACAGAUACUUUUAGGUUCCAUGUUGCAUAGCAGCAUAUCCAAAUCAAAACCUUUUGCAUCCUUUUGCAUUAUAACUUAUAAAACAUAACACCCAAUCUUGCCCACAUAAUUACACCACCUCCAGAUUUGGUUCACCUCCUAAUUCCUAAAUGCGUCAUAAAUGAGUUGACUUGAGACUUUAUCAGAAAAAGGAGUCUUUCAACAACCUUUCUACUGUAGAAGUAGUGGAGAGAAUCAGACUGGAGNNNNNNNNNNNNNNNNNNNNNNNNNNNNNNNNNNNNNNNNNNNNNNNNNNNNNNNNNNNNNNNNNNNNNNNNNNNNNNNNNNNNNNNNNNNNNNNNNNNNNNNNNNNNNNNNNNNNNNNNNNNNNNNNNNNNNNNNNNNNNNNNNNNNNNNNNNNNNNNNNNNNNNNNNNNNNNNNNNNNNNNNNNNNNNNNNNNNNNNNNNNNNNNNNNNNNNNNNNNNNNNNNNNNNNNNNNNNNNNNNNNNNNNNNNNNNNNNNNNNNNNNNNNNNNNNNNNNNNNNNNNNNNNNNNNNNNNNNNNNNNNNNNNNNNNNNNNNNNNNNNNNNNNNNNNNNNNNNNNNNNNNNNNNNNNNNNNNNNNNNNNNNNNNNNNNNNNNNNNNNNNNNNNNNNNNNNNNNNNNNNNNNNNNNNNNNNNNNNNNNNNNNNNNNNNNNNNNNNNNNNNNNNNNNNNNNNNNNNNNNNNNNNNNNNNNNNNNNNNNNNNNNNNNNNNNNNNNNNNNNNNNNNNNNNNNNNNNNNNNNNNNNNNNNNNNNNNNNNNNNNNNNNNNNNNNNNNNNGAUACCAUGAUGAAGUCAUAGAAUAGUAGUGAAUUGUGAUAGCCAAGUUUGAAGUCCAUGUAUAAAGAAACACUAUGUCAACAUAAAGCAUCGAGAUUACACCAUGACAUAACAAUAAAUAAUUCUAUAAUAAACUAAAAAGGUACAUGAACUAACCAACUCGGCAUCAUCAAUGAAAGAAUCCUCAGUGUCAUAUUGAUCAUCAUCAGGAGCCUCAUCAAGAUCCUCCUCAUCACUGCUUUGUUUGCCCUGAAACCAGGAACUUCAUGAGUUAAUAAAGUUAUCAAACACUCAGUCACAAUCCAACAACAUAAAACAUUAAGGAUUAUCACGUUCAACUAAUGAACUUCUAAUACUAUGGAUAUAUUAGACCAAAAGAUAGCUAUAUGGAAUGCCUCAUACCAUGUACAGGCGUUCAAUCUUCUCAAUAACUGCACUAAAUCGAUUUGGAGGUGCUACUGCAUCUUUUAGCUCAUCUUCCACGGUCUGGACCCAAAGAAAAAGCCAAAGGCCCUUGUUAAAUGGCAAUUUAAAUCAAUCUACCAAAUUGAGAGUGACUGCAUAGACGCCUAGGGGGCCACCUAGGCACUUUAUUUAGCCUGGCUACCUGGGCCAUGCCCACUUUCAAACCCAGUUCUUUAACAGUUUGUUUUACCAUUUUAUUUCCCUAUUUGCACCCCAUAUGGGACAUGCAGGAGGGUGUGCUACCACCACACUAGAAGCAGCCAUGAGCUGAGCAACCAAUAGCUAUAAGCAGCGGCUCCAGCACUACUGCCAGAUUUAUGUUUAUCUUUCUUCUCAAAGUAAUCCCAUCUUCUCCUUCCUAUGAUUUUUAUUCCUCUCUCUCUUCUACUCCUUUCCCUUCUUCAUCUGACCUUUUCAGUUUUUUCCUGAUCUUUAUUCCUUUUAUAUUUCCCGCCUCCUCCUUCUCCUUAAUGGUUAGCUGUUGGUUAUGAACCUAUGGCCUGUUGGCUGAUGAUUCCGACCCUCCUCCUGCUUCUAGCUAGAUGCUGACUGCCAAUAUUUGUUCUACAACCCUGCUAGCUGCUAUAGCGGCAGCAAUGCUGCUCUUGGUCUCCUCCUUCUAGUGAACUUUAAUCUUUGGACUUUAAGUGUGAAAAUUAGGUUUCAUGAUGUCAAAUUUGGUGAAAAAAGUGUGCGCGCGUGUGUGUGUGUGUGACAUAUGCAAAUGUUUAUUUAGCAUAUGAUAUUAAAUGUAUGCAUCAUAAAAGUUUGAUAGGCCUUCAUCCUUAGGCGGUUGCUGAAGCGCCUAAGCAUGCACCUAGUCUUUACAGGAGGUCCACCACCUAGCCUUGCCUAGGCAGUUUAGCAACCUUGCUUUUUCCAAUUCCCAUUAUCACUACUUGCAGGAGCAAAGUCAGGUACGGGAGUAGGGGAUCAAUUACUUUUUAGAUUACAGUGAAAUUUUCUUGUAUAUCUAUAGUCUAGAUCUAUGUUAAUUAAAGAGUUUGGCCCCCCUAGGCAAGUUGUUAGAAGCAUAAAAGUGCAGAUUGGGGGCGGGGGGGUUCUGUUAAGCAGCAUUCACCUAUUUAUUUGAUAAACCUGAGAUCUGCUUAAUUAAUCACAAGUGUCCACCUUUAUAUAGAAGGAUGUGAUGGAUUGUUAAAAUAUAUGGAAGACAAUAAUAACAGCCCUUUAAAUCAUACAAAAUUUUGGUUAGUUCUCGCAAAACAAAGAAUAGAAACUGAUAUUAUCCCCAAUUUCUAAAACAUCUUAUUCAACAUCGGAUUUCAGAUAUUAUGGAAGAAGAUGAGGAUGAGCAACAUCAGAAUUUCAAGAAAAGAUUUCUUUAUUUACUGAUCUUUAACAUUUUUAAUUAAGAUACUUUGAUUGUGUUUUGAAUUUUCUUUUCCCAACAACAACUAAAUAGCGUCCAUCUUCCAACCAACAUAUAAUCAGUGACAUUUUUUUCUUUCAUUUUUUUGGCAUAUUUUAUAAUUUUACUGAUUCUUUUCUUGGCUCAUUUAUUUUUUUUUUAUAAUUUAGUUUGCUUUUUCCACCCUUCUUGCACAAGUGGUAGAUAGUAAUGUUUUGUACCCCAUCUUGUUCACUUAUUUUUGUUUUUUAGAAAAAAUUCAUUCCUUUAUCAUCGUUCAAUGAGUAUAAUUGGUAUUUUCUAUUUUCAAAGUUCAUGCAUGAAGAGCCCCAAGAUGCCAACUAGUACAAAUGGUAAAGUCUUGGGGGUUAGUACCAAUGACCUACGUUUGAGUCCUGCCCUCACCUGAUUCUUGGCUAGGUUUUCUCCUAUUCUGGUUCUCAAAUAAAAACCAAGAAGAACAACCCAAGUAUGUAUUUAUAUUAAUCUUUUACAUCCUAUCUAUGCUCGUAUGUAUUUUUUUUUCUUGUAUGUUUUAUUGCCGCUUCUUUUUACAUGAUAUCGUCAUAAGAAAUGUCAUAACAACAGUAUUUUAACAUUUUUCUAUGAUAGUAAGAUAAUGUUAAGUAAAAUUAAUUAACAUAUUGAAAAUAUUAUUCAAUUCUGUAUUGGACAUCCCAAGUAUUUAUGGAUCCAAAUAUUAUGUAUAAUGAUCCCUGUGGAGUACUAGUAUUGAUUUUAAUUAUUGAUAUAUUUACACAAUUCUAAAACGCAACUAAGAGACAUGGCAUAAAGGUUAUCAACAGAAACUUAGUAGAAAAGAAUUUAUCAAAACAUAUCUUCUAAAAACAUCUUAAGUUCCCUCCCUCAAGUAAAAUCCUGGCGCCACCACUGACUACUCAACAGGUUAGGAUCAAUAUUAUGUCCUCUUCUAACAAAUAUGAGAUGCCCAAAUAUGUUCGUAUUCCUAUUAUCUACUCAAUUUAACCACUCUAACAUUAGCAUCCCACCUCAUUCUUCCCAGAGAUACUAACGAUAACGCUACUGAAUUCAGAAGCAGACAAUGAUGUGAAUCGCUCGAUAGAAAGGCAACUUAACACAAUCACAAAAAAUAAGACAACUGAGGAAGUCCAAGGAAGGCACAUUGUAAACACCC
rnacentral:lncRNA from 1 species